AUGUGGCAGCAGGAACCCACGCUGGGGACCCAGGCUGCUGUCUUCAAGACCACUGCUCACCUGGAGGGAGAAAUGGCCAAGGAAUCCAGUACCAUCAAACAAGUCCAAGUGAAAAAGAAAUCAAGCCUGAAGCUAAGCGAACCUCCACAGCCAAUUACCAGUUUAGAGGCAAUACAGGAAAGUCGAUUCAACCUGGUAUCCAGUGAAGAAAUCCCUAGUGCAAAGGAGAGGUGGAUCUCAGGACUGUGCGUCAUUUGCAAAAGGAAGCGCAUGAACCACCAGGUGGGGCUGCUGAGCUGCUUCUGCUCCGAGGAGGUGGAUGUCCGGGAUGAGCUUUAAGGUGAAGAGAGGGAUGUCAUUGCUCAUCCUCCAGGUUCCAAGUAAAAACCUUCCUGCCCAGCCCUUCUCGUUCUCCUUGAAUCCUCAAAGCCAGUGAGGACUGUCUCCUCACCUCCCUGGACUAGGCUUUUUAACACUGGAAAGUGGAUGUGAUUUCUAGUUUCAGCAUGUCCUGGUUUAUUGUGCUGCCAGUAAAAUAAAAUCAAAAUAUACAUCGAAUAAAUAAAAACUAAAAUAACCCAUAGUGAGCAAAGGUUUACAAUGUAUUUUUUAGAGUCAAGAUGUACCUCUGUGACUGGGCUGGAGUCCAGUGGUGCAAUCAUAGCUCACUGCAGCCUUGAAUUCAUGAGCUCAAGGGAUCUUCCCACCUCGCCUCCCCAAUACCUGGAAAUACAAGUGCCCAUGCCCACGCCUAAGGGUACUUAUUUUUAUUUUAUUUUUUACAGAUGAAGGUCUCAUAUGUUGUCCGAGCUGGUCUCCAACUCCUGAUCUUAAGUGAUCCUUUUUCCUUAGUGUCCUGAAUUGCUGGGAUUACAGGCAUGAGCUGUCAUGCUUGGCUCAUCCUGUACUGAAACCAUCAAGAUUUCCUCCUCCAAGUGUGGACACAGCAGCAGACACCCCUUGUCUCUUGGGUCAGGUUACUGGGUAAAGUGGAAUAACAGGGCAAUGGAGUUGACAGGGAGGGCCAGCUGUCCCAGGGCCACCAUAUUCAGGGAUAACUCCUCUUUCUGGGCAGGACUGUUGUUUGAUUACCUUUGUAUUCAUAAUAGUUCUGAAAUCAUAGGAUGAUGAGACUCAAGACUGGCUAAGAUUUUUUUUUCAAAAACACCAUCUCUGAGAUUUGUUUAUCUUUUGAAAUUUUUUUGUGUCUCAAUUUCCUUAAGAAUUUAACUCAUUCUUAACAUUUCAUAGUUCACUUCCAGUUAAUAAUGUACUAGUACCCAUAAAUAUAGAAAUCUUGCAACCAUUUGUCCUCUAUAAAAUGUUCAUCUUUUAUAAUAUAGAUAUUAUAUGUAAUAUAUCUAUAUAGGUUAUAAACCCCACAAAAAAGAACUUUUUACUUUUUCUUAUCUUUAAACAGUUCUGUGUAUAUAAAGGAAGUGUAAAUGAGGGAAGCAAGAUAGCCUUUUGCACUUAGCUCAAUAUUUACCAUUUUCUAUCAUCUUCAUCUUUUCUGAUUAUCCCAUUUUCCACCUGGUAUCAUUUGCCUCUAGCCUGAGGAAUUUUCUUUACCAGUUGUUACUGUGCAGAUCUGCUGGUGACAAAUUCUCUCAAUUUUCUUUUACCUGAAAUAUCUUCUUAUUUUGCCUUUCUUUAAAGGACAUCUAUGCUGGAUGUAGAAUUCUUAGUUGACCUUUUAUUCUUGCAGGACUUUAAAAAUGUUAUUCUACUUUCUUUUGUUUGUUGGUUUCUAAUAAGAAGUCAUUGGUCAGGACAGGAGAAACAGAGAAACCAAAACUGGGAAAAUAACAUGGUAGACCUAACACUUAUCACAUCGAUAAUGACAGAAACCUACAUGAAUCAACAAUCCAAUGAAGAGCAGCAAUUGUGUGACUUGGUUUAAAAAACACACAGAACAAUUCUAACUGGCGUGAGAUGGUAUCUCAAUGUAGUUUUGAUUUGCAUUUCUCUAAUGACCAGUGAUAAUGAGCAUUUUUUCAUAUGCUUUUGGCCUCAUGUAUGUCUUCUUUUGUAAAGUAUCUGCUCAUGUCCUUUGCCCACUUUUGAAUGGGCUUGUUUUUUUUUUUUUUUUGGUAAAUCUGUUUUAGUUCUUUGUAAAUUCUGGAUAUCAGCCCUUUGUCAGAUGGGUAAACUGCAAAAAUUUUUUCCCAUUCUGUUGGUUGCCAAUUCACUCUAAUGAUUGUUUCUUUUGCCGUGCAGAAGCUGUGGAGUUUAAUUAAGUCCCAUUUGUCUAUUUUGGCUUUUGUUGCCAAUGUUUUUGGUGUUUUGGUCAUGAAGUCCUUGCCUACUCUUAUGUCCUGAAUGGUUUUGCCUAGAUUUUCUUCUAGGGUUUUGAUGGUGCCAGGUCUUAUGUUUAAGUCUUUAAUCCAUCUGGAGUUAAUUUUAGUGUAAGGUGUCAGGAAGGGAUCCAGUUUCUGCUUUCUGCACAUGGCUAGCCAGUUUCCCCAACACCAUUUAUUAAACAGGAAAUCCUUUCCCCAUUGCAUGUUUUUGUCAGGUGGCAAUCAUUAAAAAAUCUGGAGACAACAGAUGCUGGAGAGGAUGUGGAGAAAUAGGAACAUUUUUACACUGUUGGUGGGAAUGUAUAUUAGUUCAACCAUUGUGGAAGACAGUGUGGCGAUUCCUCAAGGACCUAGAAAUAGAAAUUCCAUUUGACCCAGCAAUCCCAUUACUGGGUAUAUAUCGAAAAAAUUAUAAAUCAUUCUACUAUAAAGACACAUGCACACGAAUGUUCAUUGCAGCACUGUUUACAAUAGCAAAGAUCUGGAACCAACCCAAAUGCCCAUCAAUGAUAGACUGGACAGGGAAAAUGUGGCACAUAUACACCAUGGAAUAUUAUGAAGCCAUAAAAAACGAUGAGUUCGUGUCCUUUGUAGGGACAUGGAUGAACCUGGAAACCAUCAUUCUCAGCAAACUGACACAAGAACAGAAAAUGAAAUGCCGCAUGUUCUCACUCAUAGGUGGGUGUUGAACAAUGAGAACACAUGGACACAGGGAAGGGAGCACUACACACUGGGGUCUGUAGGGGGAAUAGGGGAGGGACAGUGGGGGCUGGGGAGUUGGGGAGAGAGAGCAUGGGGAGAAAUGACAGAUAUAGGUGAAGGAGAGGAAGGCAGCAAAUCACACUGCCACAUGUGUACCUAUGCAACUAUCUUGCAUGUUCUUCACAUGUACCCCAAAACCUAAAAUCCAAUAAAAAGAUAAAUAAGUAAAAUAAAAAAUAAAAAAACCACAGAACCAAACUAUAUGUAGUUUCCAGAUAUGCACUUUCUUUUCUUUUCUUUUUUUUUUUUUUGUAACUUUUAUUUUUAGUUAAGGGGUACAUGUGCAGGUUUGUUAUAUAGGUAAAUUUGUGUCAUGGGUUUUUUGUACAGAUUAUUUCUGUACCCAUUGCUACCCACCCAAGUAUUAAGCCUGAGUACCCAUUAGCUCUUUUUCCUGAUCCUCUCCUUCC
rnacentral:lncRNA from 1 species